AUUGAACGCUGGCGGAAUGCUUUACACAUGCAAGUCGAACGGCAGCACGGGAGCUUGCUCCUGGUGGCGAGUGGCGAACGGGUGAGUAAUACAUCGGAACGUACCCUGAAGUGGGGGAUAACGUAGCGAAAGUUACGCUAAUACCGCAUAUUCUGUGAGCAGGAAAGAGGGGGAUCGCAAGACCUCUUGCUUUAGGAGCGGCCGAUGUCGGAUUAGCUAGUUGGUGAGGUAAAGGCUCACCAAGGCGACGAUCCGUAGCGGGUCUGAGAGGAUGAUCCGCCACACUGGGACUGAGACACGGCCCAGACUCCUACGGGAGGCAGCAGUGGGGAAUUUUGGGACAAUGGGCGCAAGCCUGAUCCAGCCAUGCCGCGUGAGUGAAGAAGGCC
rnacentral:rRNA from 1 species